AGCAUAUCAAUAAGCGGAGGAAAAGAAACCAACAGGGAUUGCCCCAGUAACGGCGAGUGAAGCGGCAACAGCUCAAAUUUGAAAUCUGGCUCUCGGGCCCGAGUUGUAAUUUGUAGAGGAUGCUUUUGGUGAGGUGCCUUCCGAGUUCCCUGGAACGGGACGCCAUAGAGGGUGAGAGCCCCGUCUGGUUGGACACCGAUCCUCUGUAAAGCUCCUUCGACGAGUCGAGUAGUUUGGGAAUGCUGCUCUAAAUGGGAGGUAUAUGUCUUCUAAAGCUAAAUACCGGCCAGAGACCGAUAGCGCACAAGUAGAGUGAUCGAAAGAUGAAAAGAACUUUGAAAAGAGAGUUAAACAGUACGUGAAAUUGUUGAAAGGGAAGCGCUUGUGACCAGACUUGGGCUUGGUUGAUCAUCCGGGGUUCUCCCCGGUGCACUCUUCCGGCUCAGGCCAGCAUCAGUUCGCCCUGGGGGACAAAGGCUUCGGGAAUGUGGCUCUCUCCGGGGAGUGUUAUAGCCCGUUGCGUAAUACCCUGUGGCGGACUGAGGUUCGCGCAUUCGCAAGGAUGCUGGCGUAAUGGUCAUCAGUGACCCGUCUUGAAACACGGACCAAGGAGUCGUCUUCGUAUGCGAGUGUUCGGGUGUCAAACCCCUACGCGAAAUGAAAGUGAACGCAGGUGAGAGCUUCGGCGCAUCAUCGACCGAUCCUGAUGUUAUCGGAUGGAUUUGAGUAAGAGCAUACGGGGCCGGACCCGAAAGAAGGUGAACUAUGCCUGUGUAGGGUGAAGCCAGAGGAAACUCUGGUGGAGGCUCGCAGCGGUUCUGACGUGCAAAUCGAUCGUCAAACAUGGGCAUGGGGGCGAAAGACUAAUCGAACCUUCUAGUAGCUGGU
rnacentral:rRNA from 1 species